AGGGAAGAAAGCCUGUGGCCUUUAGCAAGCAAGGAUGGGGGUGUAACCAGGCUCAUCAGACCUCCCAUCCCCUCACAGCCACAGACCCAGCUUUAAGGUUACUCUGGGGCCCCCUUGGCCAAGAGGAGAGUCUGUUCGGUGGGUUGAGAGCCUUAGGAUUUUAUUUUUCUUUCUUCUUGUUCAUGUCUUCAACAAGUAUAAAGCCCUUUCCAUCUUAACUAAGCACUUAUCACACACUGUGGCUGUAACUUCUGCAGCUUGAGCCACCUGUGGGGUAUUGUAGAAACGCUGCGCUGCCUAUCACAGCUUGUGAUGUGACACGUUCAUUCUGCAAGUUUAAACUUCGCCUAGCAAAGAGCUCCUGGGAAGGUGCUGCUGGAUGCAGUUUGCAACCACCUCAACCUCGUGGAAGGUGACUAUUUUGGCCUCGAGUUUCCUGAUCACAAAAAGAUCACGGUGUGGCUGGAUCUCCUAAAACCCAUUGUGAAACAGAUUAGAAGGCCAAAGCAUGUUGUUGUUAAGUUUGUGGUGAAAUUCUUUCCGCCUGACCACACACAACUCCAAGAAGAACUCACAAGGUACCUGUUCGCGCUGCAGGUGAAGCAGGACUUGGCUCAAGGCAGGUUGACGUGUAAUGACACCAGCGCAGCUCUCUUGAUUUCACACAUUGUGCAAUCUGAGAUUGGGGAUUUUGAUGAAGCCUUGGACAGAGAGCACUUAGCAAAAAAUAAAUACAUACCUCAGCAAGACGCACUAGAGGACAAAAUCGUGGAAUUUC
rnacentral:sRNA from 1 species